ensembl:lncRNA LINC01798 long intergenic non-protein coding RNA 1798
AGAUGAAGCUAGCCUUCUCAGCUAGCCUUCAGAUUUGUCUGCUAACAGUAAAAAUACUAUAAUAAAUCGGUAACAUAUGUUGCCAGGCAAGGAAAAGUGAUAUAAAUAAAGAGACUGGGAGACCCAAACCAAAUUGCAUUCUUACCCAAAUACUCUUCGUGAUUGCCUGCUUUGCGGCUUUGGGCCGAUGCAAGCUGCAAAAUGGCGAGUCUUCUAAGGUGCCUUUCCUUCCCUGGGAUCCUCAUCUUAGAAUGAGCAGAGGCACAUCGAUAAGAACUGGACCUUGAUUUCACAACCUCAUACAAAGCCAGGCAAUUCUUGAGCCAAACAAAGGGGGUGUAAGCUAUUUCAUUUAUUUUGAUAAUCCUCCUCUUGCACGGGAGCAUUUUGCUGUCUUUGUCAAAGUGAAUGACAACAAUUUGGCCAACUCUCUCUGAGCUGCACUCAACAGUGACAGGCAAAUUAUCAGAGGCCCUGCACUUCUUAUUAUCAGAGGAGAAGCCAUCAGGGGGACGCAUGGAGGAUACCUCUCCCUUGUCACUAUUUGUCAGUGGGACAAGGGCCACUGCUAUGGGUAGCUGACAGGUAAUUUCAACAAUAACAAUUACUCCUAUUACUGGUGUCAUAAACAAUUCGCCCAAGGCAUGACAAUAGCAAAGCUUUAUAAUUCAAUGCCAUAUAAAUAAAUGCCAGCAGGUAACAAGUAAUUUAGCUCCAAUCAAGCUUUCACCCCGGCAUUAAUAUUGUUAUUGCAAGAAAAUGGAAAAUUGAAAAAAUUCAAUAUGUUAAUGAAUUAAGAGAGGUUCAAGGGCUAGACAAGACGAGUUGGAAAAAGGAAACAAAAAUUAUUGUGGUAUCAUAUUUGGUGCCAUCCUGGAGGCCAAACAUCAGUAUAAUUACUUUAAGACAAGAAGGGGAACUGGAGUGCCUUAGAUCUCAGAGCAGGGAAAAAUGUGACAUGAGCUUUCAAAAAAUCCACCUAACUCCAAUUUCUGAAGAAUAUAAGGAGAAAUAUGAGAGUGUAUAUAUAUAAUGUAGCAUUUCACUGGCUUUCUUUUUCUACCUGAAAUAUUUCAUAUGAAGCAGAAGCAUGAGUAUCAAAGAAACGUUUCCAUCUGUUUAAGAAAAUUGUAUCAGCACCUGCUUCCUUUACAUUAAGUCUCAUAAUGAAACUAUUUUAAUAAUCCUUUUUUUUUUAAUCUGGGGUGAAGGUAAAGCUGAAAGUCAUCUUUGCUCUCCAGCUGUCCACCUUUUGGAAGUGGACUAGAGGAUACAGUGUUAUCUUCAUACGUAAAACUUCCUGAUCAAGCCAAUUUGCAAUUUUAGUAUUUGUCCAGCAAGACAAUGUGCCAUCAUGGUGACAGCAGUAAAAGAAUUUGAAAAUCUCUAAUUAGGAGAGCUGCACACCAAUUAACGCAUGUCAAAUUUCACUUCAUCAAGUGCCACUCUAAUUUUCCCUCUAAAAAUUAAUGGAUUUUUUUUCUUUUGGUAUGUGUGUGUGUCCCCUUAAGGCAAUGUUGAUUCAAAUCUGCUCGAGAUGCAGUGUUGCACAGCUAAGCAUCUUCUUGAUUACAAUCCGCCACACUUCUAACUGCGCUCAUUCGCACUGCCACGGAUACUUUGUCAACAGUCAAAUUACACCACGCUGAUAACAAUGCAUAAUGGUGUUCCUCCUCCAGUCCCCUGUCAGGAGAGGGGCUUCAUAAAAAUGUGAUGUUUUCUUCUCAACUGUAUCUAAAGGAAGUUUGUAUGACCAGGUCCCCAGUCAGGUGUUGAUUUUUAAAAU